CAGGCUCCAGGCUCUGAGCUGUCAGCACAGAGCCCAAUGCGGAGCUCAAACUCAGGAACUACGAGAUCGUGACCUGAGCCAAAGUCGGACUCAACUGACUGAGCCACCCGGGUGCCCCGAAAUACAAGAUUUAAAGGUAAGCCCUCAGGGCACCUGGGUGGCACAAAGCAAAAGCAAGAGAGGUCAUUUCCUAAAUGACAUAAUGGCACUCUCCAGAGUUGAGUUGCAGGGAUUCCGCCACCCCUAGAGUCUGCGUGCCUGUCUGAAGACUAAACAUUUUCACAGUUCCUUUGGCCCACGGGUUAUUUUCUUGCUGGAAAAAAAAUGGAAAAUCCUCCUUACAGAUGGUAAGAAAAAUAACUUCAGCUGGACUAAUCCAGAGACAAAGAUUCUUCUGAAACUGGAGAAGGAUAGGGGAGUCAGGGGGAGCAAAUAUUUACUUUAACUACAUGCAGAACGUUUCUUCUGGGUUUCUUCUUAUUUGCUCAUGCCCAAGAACCCCUAACUAGCUCAUUAAAGAGAGGCUGGGUCACCUAGGUCAUAGGAGGAGCUGGGUGGUCAUAAGCCUGCAGGAGCCCAGGCUCCCAGGGGUCCCCUGUUUGGCCAAGACCAUCAGGAGCUGCACCACAUAGACCCUGGUUGAGAAGAAGACAUAUCUUCAGGGGUAACCUCCCUUUACCCAGAUGAGCCCCUCCCUAAAGAUGGGAUUGUCACAAGUCUAAGACUCUAUUUGUUAUUCAUCUUCAAAAUGUACUUCUUCUUAAUAAGUGCCUUUGACAUGAAAUUUCAGUUGUUACAAUUUGUUUCUUCAUAUCAGAAUGAUUUAUGUCCAUUUCAUCAAUUUCAUAAUCCAUUUUUUUAAUCUGAUUUUCUCUCACUUAGCUAAAGGAAAACUAGUUUUAUAUUGUAUGUAUCCCAUCUAUGAGACAAAACUGCAAAAGAAAAGAGGCAACUGAUGGAAAACACUGAAAAUAUCAACAGCUUCAGGUACCAUGAAGAGAGAUUUCUCCUGUGAGACAGAGGAAAUCAACUGGACAUGUCACCUAUUCUGAGAGCCCAUGAUGCUUUUCCAGCAUGCUUGGAGCUGUGUUGUCAGGGUGACCGUGAAUGUUGUUAAGAGUGGGCAACCAUCUUCUAGAAUUUGUGUCACAGACAGAUGGCUUUCACUUGCCAGAAUGUUUGGAAUUGCCUUGGAAGGGCCCAUGCAAGUGACCAGCCUAAGUGUCACUAGCUGCAUAGUAAAUCGCCCUGUCAACCAGAAAGUGGGUUUGGCCCAGCCUCUCAAGGGUCAUUUCACCUCUAAUUCAAGAUACCUACCUCACAGCCCAUGCACUUGAACACAGCCUGGUGAACAGGGGUCACAUCCUGAUUGUGUAUAUGAGGAGCAUGGGGGAAAGAGCAUCAGAUGUGGGACUGUGUCCCAUCUGAUUGGAUGAUACUUUAUAUAUCUGAAAUAAAAUUGUAUUAAUAAUACUAUUAAUACUUCUAUAAAAUAGUAUUGAUAAUACUAGCCCUAUCUACCUCACAGUGGUGAGGAUCAAAUUGUAUAAGAUAUGGAAUAGUACUUUAUAAACUACAAAGCACUUCCUGAAAGCAGUGAAUAUUGUUCAAACAGUCACACGUCCGACGAAUGUUUACUGAGCACCUACCAUAUGCUAGGCACUAUCCCCGCAUUAAAGUAAAGCAUUAAACAAAUAUUAUUAUCUUUCUAUAUGUAAAAUUGAUUUUCUUUCUGACUUUAAGUUGAAUGGUUCUUUGAUGUGGCCAGUCUUCAAGAUGCUCCCAGGGAUCCUUGCCUUUGUUAUGGAAUACAUCCCGACCACCUUGACCCUGACCUAAGGACCAAUGGAGUGACCAUUGGUCCUAAGUGACCAAUGGAGUAUAGGAGAAGUGAUACUCUGUGACUUCCAAGGUUAGGUCAUAAAUUACAUUACUGCUUCAUCCUUGGUCUUCUAGAUGAGUUGCCCCAGAGCAAGCCAGCCACCAUGUCAUGGGGGGCAUUUAUGAAGCUAUGGAGAGGCUUGUGGGAAUAAAAGUGGUGCUCUCUCAGAAUCCAGUACCAAAUCACCAGGCAUGCCUUACUUUGGAAGUGAACGCUUCAGGACCAGACAAGCCUUCACAUAGCUGCUGUCCAGCUGACGUCUUAAUGACAAGCAGAUGAGAAGCCCCAAGCCACAGUUGCCCAGCUAGACCACUUCUUAAUACCUGACCCGUAAAAACUGUGGCAGUGUGCAGAAGAAAGUGAGGCGGGAAGAGAUGAAGGACCUUCAUCCCCGUUCAGACUCUUGCCUGGAUUACUCCAAAGCCCAAGAAGGCAUUUUUACUCCCAAAUAUGGCAGCCUACAUCCUUGUGUUGGCCUCUUAACUGGACCCUCUAGACUGUUGGAUUGGACAGGAGGACUCAUGCGUGGCCUGGCCUUGUGCUAGAUCAGGUGUGCUCAGUGACUGGGCUGUUACUUCUCAGGACUUCUAUUUGUCCCUUAGCAAUACCAGGGCACCCAGGCCCAAUAGCUCAGCAAGCACCAAGAAAAAGUGAUCAUGCCAAGGAGCACACCCACAAUGGGUUCCCUGGAAAGGAGGAACCCAGAGAGCACCACCAACACUCAUGCCUUGGAGGAAUUUGGCUGAUGACUAAAAAGUCACAAGCCAUGCCAGCUUCCCCAGAGAAGAGAAGGACGUUAAGUAACAGCUUCCCCGCUAACAGCUCACCUGGGAAAAGUACAUCAUUUCCAGCUAUGAGCUCACCAUCCUUGCUCGGACUUCAAGGCUGACAGAGAGUGAGUGGAGGUGAAAACAAGCUAUGGUGAGCUUUGCUUUCUCUCUUUCCUUAGCUGAGAAGAUUCUGGCUGUGGGCUUUCCUGUUGCUGUUAAUGCUAUGUAACUGCAAGAUAUUGUGACUGCUACUCUUUUAAUUCACACAUGGGACAUUCGUUCACUCAAUAAACAUAUGUUGUGGGCCUA